CCCAGGAGAAAAGAGGUAUGGUAUGUGU
rnacentral:piRNA from 1 species